AGAUUGAACGCUGGCGGCAUGCCUUACACAUGCAAGUCGAACGGCAGCACGGGGGCAACCCUGGUGGCGAGUGGCGAACGGGUGAGUAAUGCAUCGGAACGUGCCCAGUAGUGGGGGAUAACUAGUCGAAAGAUUAGCUAAUACCGCAUACGACCUACGGGUGAAAGCGGGGAUUCGCAAGAACCUCGCGCUAUCGGAGCGGCCGAUGUCUGAUUAGCUAGUUGGCGGGUAAAAGCCCACCAAGGCUUCGA
rnacentral:rRNA from 1 species